GCGGAGCGGAGCGCCGCGGGGCUCCGCGGGGCCGGGGGCGGCCGGCAGGACGCGGCCGGGAGCGGCUCGUGGCACCGCUGUGCGCGGCGGCGCGGGGCGGAACAGCGCGGCCGGAGCCGGGAGCCGGGAGCGGAGCUGAAGAGCCGCGGCCGCAGCGCAGGUUUCCCUUCGAUGUGCGCAGAUGUGCGCGGCCGCAGGGGCUGCAGGGCGAUGCCGAAGGCGGCGUUAGAAGCACAUCCUGACACUUCUGUUUCCCGUUUCCAUCCGAGCCCGUUUCUCCCCCGGUCCCACGCGCCGCGAAGCGGCACUCCGUGCUCCCAGCGGCCCGGAGCAGCACCGGAGCUCACGGCCGUCACCGCCUGCGGCCGCCGCUCAGCUCCGAAGGCACCGCAACACUCGGCACCCGCACGGCAGCGCGGACACCAUCGGCAUCCAGCUCUGCUACAUCCAGCUCUGCACAUCCAGCUCUGCUACAUCCAGCUCUGCUACAUCCAGCUCUGCACAUCCAGCUCUGCACAUCCAGCUCUGCUACAUCCAACUCUGCUACAUCCAACUCUACACAUCCAGUUCUGCACCUCCAGCUCCACACCUCCAGCUCCGCGCCCUUCGUGCGUUUCCCACAGCAGAGCCGGCCGGGCAGAUGCGCCGCGAGCGGCCGGCAGGAGAUGCUGCCCGGCCAGCCGUGAGCCGCAGCCGGGCCGAAGGCAGCGGCACGUCGGCGUCCCGCGGCCCCCGGCUUUGCGCGCUCGCUGCCGGGCGCUCGCUCUGCUUCCGCCGCUCCGCUCCGCACCGCCCGUCCCCUCCCCGCCGCUCUCGGAGCGGCUCCGCGGCGCUGUGGCGUUUCUCUCCUUUUGUUUAUUCCCAGGAAGUCCCUCUUCCGCCGCCUGCGCAGCGCUCGGCCCCGAUUUAACCCGGGCAUUAACUUGGGACAGGGAAAGGAAACAGAACGGGGGGGGGUUGCAGGAAAAAAACAGAAAAAUGGUAAAAAAGCACAGGGACGGAGAGCUGUGCCCCAUACAGAGCUGUGCCCCCAUACAGAGCUGUGCCCCACACAGAGCUGUGCCCCCACAUAGAGCUGUGCCCCUACAUAGAGCUGUGCCCCACACAGAGCUGUGCCCCUACAUAGAGCUGUGCCCCACACAGAGCUGUGCCCCACACAGAGCUGUGCCCCACACAGAGCUGUGCCCCUACAUAGAGCUGUGCCCCACACAGAGCUGUGCCCCCACAUAGAGCUGUGCCCCAUACAGAGCUGUAUCCCAAUACAGAGCUGUACCCCAUAAAAAGCUGUGCCACAUACAGAGCUGUAUCCCAUAAAAAGCUGUGCCCCAUACAGAGCUGUGCCCCACAGAGCUGUGCCCUGUACUGAGCUGUACCCCUACACAGAGCUGUGCCCCCACACAGAGCUGCACCCCAUACAGAGCUGUGCCCCACACAGAGCUGUGUAUGUGCCCCAUACACAGCUAUACCCCUACACAGAGCUGUGCCCCACACAGAGCUGUACCCCACACAGAGCUGUACCCCCAUAUAGAGCUGUGCCCCCACAUAGAGCUGUGCCCCCAUACAGAGCUGUGCCCCAUACAGAGCUGUGCCCCCAUACAGAGCUGUGCCCCCAUACAGAGCUGUGCCCCAUACAGAGCUGUGCCCCCACACACUGCAGCCCAACGUUCAGCCGUGCCUUUGUGUGCCCACCUGCACACAGCCAGGCAGUGCGGCUGCUUGGCUCCAUGGGGCACACAGAGGGCAAGCAGGAUGCCAUGCGGGGCUGUAUGGGGCCAUGCAGGGCAGUGCAGGGCUGUAUGGGGCCAUGCAGGGCUGUAUGGGGCCGUGCAGGGCUGUAUGGGGCCGUGCAGGGCUGUAUGGGGCCAUGCAGGGCUGUACAGGGCCAUGCAGGGCUGUAUGGGGCGGUGCAGGGCUCUACAGGGCUGUAUGGAGCCAUGCAGGGCUCUACGGGGCCAUGCAGGGCUGUAUGGGCCAUGCAGGGUCAUGUAGGGCUGUAUCGUCCACGCAGGGCUGUAUGGGGCCUUGCAGGGCUUAUGGGGCCAUGCAGGGCUGCAUGGGGCUGUCCGGGCCGUGCAGGGCUGUAUGGUGCAUGCAGGGCUGCAUGGGGCUGUAUGGUGCAUGCAGGGCUGUAUGGUGCAUGCAGGGCUGCAUGGGGCUGUAUGGUGCAUGCAGGGCUGUAUGGUGCAUGCAGGGCUGCAUGGGGCUGUAUGGGGCCGUGCAGGGCUGUAUG
rnacentral:lncRNA from 1 species